AUUGAUCAUAUGCCCCAAAUUACUCCAGGACUCAUGCCUCUGGGGAUGUCCUGGGAUGCCAUGAGUGGGCCCAGAUUCCAAAGACAAUUUAACGAGGAGACCAAUCCCUCUGGCCAAUGGAGUAUUUUGGGAGGGGCUGGGAUUGCAUGAAAUUUGUCUUCCAGAAUAGUGUUGAUAGCCAAAUUUGGGUGAUUCAAAUUGUUUCUAUCUGCAAAUGUAAACAUAUAUUCACUGGCUUUUAAAAAACAAACAAACAAAAAACAUACUAUUUAUACUUUCUCUAGUUUCCUUUUGUUCAUUCUGAUGCCAUCUACUUUUCCACAAACAUAGUGUAUCUUUCCAUUUGUUUGAACUCUUUUAUAUUUAACAGGGGAAAAAAUGAAACUACUGACCUAAGAAGACUAAUUAGGGAUCAAUUCACAAAUUAGUAGUUUUCCCAAGGGCCUAGAAACAAAAGUUCAAU
rnacentral:lncRNA from 1 species